UACGGGGGGGGCAAGCGUUGUUCGGAAUUACUGGGCGUAAAGGGCUCGUAGGUGGCCAACUAAGUCAGACGUGAAAUCCCUCGGCUUAACCGGGGAACUGCGUCUGAUACUGGAUGGCUUGAGUUCGGGAGAGGGAUGCGGAAUUCCCGGUGUAGCGGUGAAAUGCGCAGAUAUCGGGAAGAACACCCGUGGCGAAGGCGGUUCUCUGGGACGGUACUGACGCUGAGACGCGAAAGCGUGGGGAGCGAACAGG
rnacentral:rRNA from 1 species